rnacentral:rRNA from 1 species
CCUACGGGGGGCAGCAGUCGAGAAUCAUUCACAAUGGGGGAAACCCUGAUGGUGCGACGCCGCGUGGGGGAAUGAAGGUCUUCGGAUUGUAAACCCCUUUCAUGUGGGAGCAAAUUAAAAAGAUAGUACCACAAGAGGAAGAGACGGCUAACUCUGUGCCAGCCGCCUCGGGAAUACAGAGGUCUCAAGCGUUGUUCGGAAUCACUGGGCGUAAAGCGUUCGUAGGCGGUUUCGUAAGUCGUGUGUGAAAGGCGCGGGCUCAACCCGCGGACGGCACAUGAUACUGCGAGACUAGAGUAAUGGAGGGGGAACCGGAAUUCUCGGUGUAGCAGUGAAAUGCGUAGAGAUCGAGAGGAACACGCGUGGCGAAGGCGGGUUCCUGGACAUUAACUGACGCUGAGGCACGAAGGCCAGGGGAGCGAAAGGGAUUAGAUACCCCAGUAGUC